GCCUGGGUGGCUCAGUUGGUUGAGCGUCUGACUUCGGCUCAGGUCAUGAUCUCGUGGUCCGUGAGUUCCAGCCUGACUUCGAGCC
rnacentral:tRNA from 1 species